rnacentral:rRNA from 1 species
UACGUAGGGUGCAAGCGUUGUCCGGAAUUAUUGGGCGUAAAGAGCUCGUAGGCGGUUUGUCGCGUCGAAUGUGAAAACCCGGGGCUCAACCCCGGGCCUGCAUUCGAUACGGGCAGACUAGAGUUCGGUAGGGGAGUCUGGAAUUCCUGGUGUAGCGGUGAAAUGCGCAGAUAUCAGGAGGAACACCGGUGGCGAAGGCGGGACUCUGGGCCGAUACUGACGCUAAGGCGCGAAAGCGUGGGGAGCGAACAGG